CUUGCCAAAUCAACACACCUGGAUGGGCGGGACACAAAGCUGAGCUCUUGCCCCUCUAGGUGGGUCAGGCCAAGUCGCAGUUGUGCCUGAGAACGGAAAAGUGAAACAGGCCACGUGGCCACCAGAGCUAUGAUGCAAGGAACGGAAAGCGAGUGAAAAUGGCAGUCUGGAAUAACUCUAAAGAAAAGCACUAGUAACAGCCAUGAGUCCGUGACCACCCAGUAGUGGAAAGCAGGGGGGAGGGAUUGUUUCCUCAUUCAUCCCUGGCACUACUGCAGUCUUUCUCAGCAAACAGAAAUACCAGCUGAAGCACAAACAAAAGCUGAGAAAUCAGAGGCCCCAAAUGGAUAAUCUCAUAGAUUAUUCCAUGAUUAAUUAUCCCAGUUUUAUCAAAUGCCACAUCCAAAUAAGGUCAAACACAAAAUUGUAAUCUUCAAGACACGCAACCACCCCUUUGCACGAGCCUUGAUUUCUAUCACAGGAAGUUUAAACUGACUUCUAUUAAUAACAAUAGAAAAAAGAAGUAAUGUUGAUACAUUCUGAACUAUGUACUCAACAUGUCAAGGAGAUCAUUAGUGACUGACACCAAUGAUGUGCCAUAGACAACAAGAUGUCUUUUUUGUGCCUGUCCUUUCCUGACAUUCCUGUCGCAUCCUAUUCAGCAACCUCAUGCAGUGAUCCUCUUGUACUUUGGAUCAAAAAAUUUCCACAUUAGUGGUUUAUGCAUGUCGCCAUUUUGUUCUGUUGUGGUUUUUUGUUCAUUUAUUUUUACAGUUAGUUUUGUUUGUAUUUUAAUCGCUUGAAUUAAAAAGGUUAUUAAUAGCAGAACAGUCAGCAUUGCAAUAUACAUAUGUAUCUUUGUACCUGGAUGAAUAUCAUAUUUUUAAUAGGUUAUAAGCCCUAAAUUCCAGAGAGAGACUCACAAAUUCACUUAAUUUCCCUGAUUUCACAUGUAGGUCUCCACAUUAGCUAAAAAUGUGUAAAACCACAUGGAAGUAGUUCCUAUUUAGUACAUAGCUGAGGAGGCACACGGCUCUUUUUUCUUUUACCAUAUGGCUGAAGUAACUUGCACACAAGCAAUUUGUUCUGAUUCAGCUGUUUCAGCAGGAAGGAUUUGCAGAAGCAGGAUUGGGAAAUACACAGGAUUCUAUUUCACUUCUGUGACAAGAGUUAUAUUUUUAAUUAGCCCCUGCUAGUCUUCCGGGUGCAGCUUGUAAGUUUAAUUCUCUAUCUCAGGUCUGAGUCCCAUCUGAUAGUGCCAUUUUUAUUUGUAUUUAGGGAUCAGUUCUAAAAGUGUUUUCAGAAAAGGCAGUUCCUUGGCAAAUUCUGUUGAAGAAAAUUAAGAGUUUUGGAUUUUCUUUUUUCCCAGUAGACUUGACUUACAAGAAGCUUAUUAAA